UACGUAGGGGGCUAGCGUUGUCCGGAAUCAUUGGGCGUAAAGCGCGCGCAGGCGGUCCUUUAAGUCUGAUGUGAAAGCCCACGGCUCAACCGUGGAGGGUCAUUGGAAACUGGGGGACUUGAGUACAGAAGAGAAGAGUGGAAUUCCACGUGUAGCGGUGAAAUGCGUAGAGAUGUGGAGGAACACCAGUGGCGAAGGCGACUCUUUGGUCUGUAACUGACACUGAGGCGCGAAAGCGUGGGGAGCAAACAGG
rnacentral:rRNA from 1 species